GGAAAAUCUAGCUAAUGAUUUUAUAUACUAUAACAGAACCUGGUGUUAUACAGGAAAAAAAGCCACAAACUUGUAAUGAAGCUUGUAAUUAAACGAGGACCAUAACUGUCCAAAAGAGAUUUCUUUGAAACUCAAGAAGUGACAAAAAAAUUAAGUUCUCUCUCUUGAUUUAAGCAAUAAAUUCCAAAAACAUAGUAAAAAACAAGUUUCCCCCCAAAAAAGACAAAUUUAAUCAACAGUGUAAAACUAUGUACUGAAAAUACACACAAUACAAUUUUGCAAAUGAAUACAAGACAGCUACCAACUUUCAGCUCUAACAGUGGCUUGACUGACAGAAGCCAAAAAUAAAACACUCUACCACACAAUAUACCCAAAUUAUAGACAGAAUUAUUCUAUCAGUAUGUAAGUGUAGAGAACCCAAAUAUUAUCAAAAUCAAGAGUUUGCUAACUGAAGAUCAAAGAGGAGUCACAUCAUGUAAUUAAAAAUUGAAACAACAUAUUAAAGAUAGUACUAAAGACCAUGCCAGCUAAUAGGCAAAAGCAAACACGCCGUAAGAAGUCAAAUGCUCUUGAUGAUGGAAUUUUAGACUAUAUACCUAAGACAGCUAUUUAUAGUUUUCACUAUCUUGUUAUAUAUUCUCUCUCAUUCGCAAGAAAAUUAGUUUUUUUCUACUUGUAGAAAUAAAAAGUGAAGAUAGGCCUCCAUAUAUUCUAGACAUGCAUGACAUACCUUUCAGAGUCGGCUUCAGCAGUCUGACACCUCCUGUUCGUCCUAGCUGAAACUGUCACUUUUCUCUGUCCUUGAAGAUAGUAUAAUUCAUUAUCAGGAUUUAUUAUCAGUUGCUUUUUGUUUUUAAUCUAGUUUCUAGGCUAACUAAAUCCUUUGUCUUCAACACAACAAUCCUUUCAACACAUGUAUCUCCUACUUGUUCUAGCCAUCUUGGUACCAGUUAUCACUGCCACAGAAAAAGGAACCCAAGCAAGAUUAAAACUUAAUUUAUUUUGUAAGCACUAAUAAUGAGUAAGGGAAAAUAAGGAAAUUUCAAGCAAGUUAAAAGAAGGCAAAUUUUAGUUCAAUGUAUUUGAGGACAGUAUAUGAAAAAUGUGUUAUAAUGAAGUACCUCUAUUAUUGCUAUAGCACAAAGUCUGUGGAGACUCAUGAAAAUUAAGGGUUAGAAAGGUAGGUUAGGUGCAUAAACAGGUGCUAAAGAAACAACUUUUUUUUUUCUUGGAAGGUGAUAAAACAUAGUAAGGUAAUAAUGGCUUCUUGUAAAAUAACAUACAUGACCAAUUCAAAUGUGUUCUAAAAUAUAUUUCAAUGUAAAAACUAGAACCUUUAUAUACUGGGGAUUAUAAGAUUCUACUUACUAGAAAUUUACAAGGUUAAGGAGUAAGACAAAGUUUGGCUUGUGAUGUUUCUCAUUUAUAAGGAAUAAAACAAUAUGAAUAUAUGAAGUUUGGUCUAUUAAAAAGGAUGGUGUUCUCAUGGUGUGAUAUACCACAAAAAAAAUCUGAUCAAAACCAAACUGUUCAAUGUGACAGUCUGAAAAUUAUAUACUCUACU
rnacentral:lncRNA from 1 species